AGCGAACGCUGGCGGCAGGCCUAACACAUGCAAGUCGAACGAAGUCUUCGGACUUAGUGGCGGACGGGUGAGUAACACGUGGGAACGUACCUUUUGGUUCGGAACAACUCAGGGAAACUUGAGCUAAUACCGGAUGAGCCCUUAGGGGGAAAGAUUUAUCGCCGAAAGAGCGGCCCGCGUUAGAUUAGCUAGUUGGUGAGGUAAAGGCUCACCAAGGCUACGAUCUAUAGCUGGUCUGAGAGGAUGAUCAGCCACACUGGGACUGAGACACGGCCCAGACUCCCACGGGAGGCAGCAGUGGGGAAUCUUGCGCAAUGGGCGAAAGCCUGACGCAGCCAUGCCGCGUGAAUGAUGAAGGUCUUAGGAUUGUAAAAUUCUUUUACCAGGGACGAUAAUGACGGUACCUGGAGGAAAAGCCCCGGCUAACUUCGUGCCAGCAGCCGCGGUAA
rnacentral:rRNA from 1 species